rnacentral:rRNA from 1 species
UACGGAGGGUGCAAGCGUUAUUUGGAUUUAUUGGGUUUAAAGGGUGUGUAGGUGGUUUGAUAAGUCAGCGGUGAAAUAUUUCAGCUUAACUGGAAGGGUGCCGUUGAUAUUGUCGAGCUUGAAUUUAGUUGCUGUGGGUGGAAUGUGUGGUGUAGCGGUGAAAUGCAUAGAUAUCACACAGAAUAUCGAUUGCGAAGGCAGCUCACAAAGCUAAUAUUGAUGUUGAUGCACGAAAGUGUGGGGAUCAAAUAGGAUUAGAUAUUUUGGUAGUUCAUACUGUAAAUGAUGAUAAUUUGUUGUUGGCGAUACACAGUCGGUGGCCAAGCGAAAGCGAUAAGUUAUCCAUUUGGGGAGUAUGACUGCAAGGUUGAA